rnacentral:rRNA from 1 species
AGAGUUUGAUCCUGGCUCAGAACGAACGCUGGCGGCGUGGAUAAGACAUGCAAGUUGUGCGGGGGUUGAACGGUAGCAAUACUGGACAACCCUAGCAGCGAAAGGGUGAGUAGCAUGUGGGCAAUUUGCCGUGAAGCCCGGGAUAACCCGCCGAAAGGCGGGCUAAUACCGGAUGUGACCGCAUCGGGGCAUCCCGGAGCGGUUGAAGGCGGGGACCUUCGGGCCUGCCACUUCUCGAUAAGCCCGCACUCUAUCAGCUAGUUGGUGAGGUAACGGCUCACCAAGGCGAUGACGGAUAGCUGGUCUGAGAGGACGAUCAGCCACACUGGAACUGAGACACGGUCCAGACACCUACGGGUGGCAGCAGUCGAGAAUCAUUCACAAUGGGCGCAAGCCUGAUGGUGCGACGCCGCGUGGGGGAUGAAGGCCUUCGGGUCGUAAACCCCUGUCAUCCGCGAACAAACCUUUUCGGUUAACACCCGGGAAGCUGAUAGUAGCGGAAGAGGAAGGGACGGCUAACUCUGUGCCAGCAGCCGCGGUAAUACAGAGGUCCCGAGCGUUGUUCGGAUUUACUGGGCGUAAAGGGUGCGUAGGUGGCUGGGCAAGUUUGAUGUGAAAGCUCCGGGCUCAACCCGGAAAAUGCAUUGAAAACUGCCCGGCUUGAGGAUCGGAGAGGAGACUGGAAUUCUCGGUGUAGCAGUGAAAUGCGUAGAUAUCGAGAGGAACACCAGUGGCGAAGGCGGGUCUCUGGACGAUUCCUGACACUGAGGCACGAAAGCCAGGGGAGCAAACAGGAUUAGAUACCCUGGUAGUCCUGGCUGUAAACGGUGCACGCUUGCUAUGAGCGGAAUCGACCCCGCUCGUGGCGAAGCUAACGCGUUAAGCGUGCCGCCUGGGGAGUACGGUCGCAAGAUUAAAACUCAAAGAAAUUGACGGGGGCCUGCACAAGCGGUGGAGUAUGUGGCUUAAUUCGAUGCAACGCGAAGAACCUUACCUGGCCUUGACAUGCAAGUGGUAGGAGCCCGAAAGGGUGACGACCCCGCAAGGGGAGCUUGCACAGGUGCUGCAUGGCUGUCGUCAGCUCGUGUCGUGAGAUGUUGGGUUAAGUCCCGCAACGAGCGCAACCCUCAUGUCCUGUUGCCCCUUGGGCGAGAGCCCGAAGCACUCUGGACAGACUGCCUCAUCUAAAUGAGGAGGAAGGUGGGGAUGACGUCAAGUCAGUAUGGCCCUUACGGCCAGGGCUGCACACGUACUACAAUGCCCGGUACAGAGGGAAGCCAAACCGCAAGGUGGAGCGAAUCCCGAAAAGCCGGGCCCAGUUCAGAUUGGAGUCUGCAACUCGACUCCAUGAAGCCGGAAUCGCUAGUAAUGGCGCAUCAGCUACGGCGCCGUGAAUACGUUCCCAGGCCUUGUACACACCGCCCGUCACAUCAUGAAAGCCGGUUGUACCCGAAGUCGCCGUGUUAACCGCAAGGAGACAGGUGCCGAAGGUAUGGCUGGUAAUUGGGAUGAAGUCGUAACAAGGUAACCGUA